rnacentral:rRNA from 1 species
ACUACGGGCGGCUGCAGUGGGGAAUAUUGCACAAUGGGGGAAACCCUGAUGCAGCGACGCCGCGUGAGUGAAGAAGUAUUUCGGUAUGUAAAGCUCUAUCAGCAGGGAAGAAAAUGACGGUACCUGACUAAGAAGCCCCGGCUAACUACGUGCCAGCAGCCGCGGUAAUACGUAGGGGGCAAGCGUUAUCCGGAUUUACUGGGUGUAAAGGGAGCGUAGACGGCCAGACAAGUCAGAAGUGAAAGCCCAGGGCUCAACCCUGGGACUGCCCUUGGAACUGCAUGGCUGGAGUGCGGGAGGGGCAGGCGGAAGUCCUGGUGUAGCGGUGAAAUGCGUAGAUAUCAGGAGGAACACCGGCGGCGAAGGCGGCCUGCUGGACCGCGACUGACGUUGAGGCUCGAAAGCGUGGGGAGCGAACAGGAUUAGAUACCCGAGUAGUC